rnacentral:tRNA from 1 species
GGAGAGGUGUCCGAGUGGUCGAAGGAGCACGACUGGAACUCGUGUAUACCCUAACCGGGUAUCGAGGGUUCGAAUCCCUCCCUCUCCGCCA